UUUUAUUACAAAACGUAAAAAUAAUCUAUCACUAUCAUAUGUGGGAAAACCCAAUUAAUAUACAGAGGUCAUCCGGGUUCACAGACUCGCAGUUCUCUUAUGUUCGUAAUACAAUAUUUUUAUCGUAUUUAUCUUUAUAUACGAUUCAUGGACAUUGUAGUGACCAGGCGCUUCUGACUAAAAAAGUUAUCACAAUUUUUAAUAUUAUGCAAGAAGUGUGUUAUCCUAGAAUCGUGCUUCUUAAUAUUUGAGAUCUUGUGUUGUAAACAAUUGAUAAUUUCGAUCAUUCCACAAGACAAUGAUUUAUGUAUUUAUACACUUGAAGGGUAAAUUUUUUAUAAACACAUCGCAUCAAUAAUUGUCCUAGUAUAACACACUUAUAAUUUAUUCUACAUCUAAAGGCAGGAUGAUGUUGAUUAGAUUACUAAAAUCUAACAUUAAACAAGAUGAAAAAAAAAAAAAUUGGCCCUGGUUCUAGGA